rnacentral:rRNA from 1 species
GCCGGAAUCGCUAGUAAUCGCGGAUCAGAAUGCCGCGGUGAAUACGUUCCCGGGUCUUGUACACACCGCCCGUCGCACCAUGGGAGUCGGGAAUGCCCGAAGUCAGUGGCCCAACCGGAAGGGGGGAGCUGCCGAAGGCAGGCCCGGUGACUGGGGUGAAGUCGUAACAAGGUAUC